UACGUAGGGUGCAAGCGUUGUCCGGAAUUAUUGGGCGUAAAGAGCUCGUAGGCGGUCUGUCGCGUCUGCUGUGAAAACUCAGGGCUUAACCCUGAGCUUGCAGUGGGUACGGGCAGACUAGAGUGCGGUAGGGGAGACUGGAAUUCCUGGUGUAGCGGUGAAAUGCGCAGAUAUCAGGAGGAACACCGGUGGCGAAGGCGGAUCUCUGGGCCAUAACUGACGCUGAGGAGCGAAAGCAUGGGGAGCGAACAGG
rnacentral:rRNA from 1 species